AGUCGAGCGAGUCUGCCUUGAAGAUCGGAGUGCUUGCACUCUGUGAAACAAGAUACAGGCUAGCGGCGGACGGGUGAGUAACACGUGGGUAACCUGCCCAAGAGAUCGGGUUAACACCUGGAAACAGAUGCUAAUACCGGAUAACAACAGAUGAUGCCUAUCAACUGUUUAAAAGAUGGUUCUGCUAUCACUCUUGGAUGGACCUGCGGUGCAUUAGCUAGUUGGUAGGGUAACGGCCUACCAAGGCGAUGAUGCAUAGCCGAGUUGAGAGACUGAUCGGCCACAUUGGGACUGAGACACGGCCCAAACUCCUACGGGAGGCAGCAGUAGGGAAUCUUCCACAAUGGACGCAAGUCUGAUGGAGCAACGCCGCGUGAGUGAAGAAGGGUUUCGGCUCGUAAAGCUCUGUUGUUGGUGAAGAAGGACAGGGGUAGUAACUGACCUUUGUUUGACGGUAAUCAAUUAGAAAGUCACGGCUAACUACGUGCCAGCAGCCGCGGUAAUACGUAGGUGGCAAGCGUUGUCCGGAUUUAUUGGGCGUAAAGCGAGUGCAGGCGGCUCGAUAAGUCUGAUGUGAAAGCCUUCGGCUCAACCGGAGAAUUGCAUCAGAAACUGUCGAGCUUGAGUACAGAAGAGGAGAGUGGAACUCCAUGUGUAGCGGUGAAAUGCGUAGAUAUAUGGAAGAACACCGGUGGCGAAGGCGGCUCUCUGGUCUGUUACUGACGCUGAGGCUCGAAAGCAUGGGUAGCGA
rnacentral:rRNA from 1 species